CAAAUUUGGGCAGGGUGUGGCUGACUCGUUGUUCUCUGAGGCAUCUCCUAAGUCAUUUGGAGAACCUAGGCCUAAAGCAUCCAGAUGGUUUUGCUCCCAUCUGCAACUUGGGUGACUGGAGGGUUAAACUCAGCCUAUACUCUGGGUUCAAGCAGUAGUGUGUGGCCUUCCCAGGUGUGUGGGGAUGGUGGGGCAGCCUCAGAGCCACUGGCCUUUCCUCCUAAGGACUGACUUCCUGUGGAGUGAAUGUCUCAAGAGAAACCAACGGAAGAGGUCUGGUCUUUAACAAAUCCACAUAAGCCACAUGACACCACAUUGACCACAUCCUUGGAUGAGUGCUUCCAGUCUCCCUAGGCAACAAGAGCACCAGGGUCUCCUUGUAGUAUGCUUCUCCAUAAAGAAAGACAUGGCCGCACUUUAUGUAACUGAACACAUGAGUACACAGAGACCCAGGGACGUGGACAAAAAUACACAUACAUUCUGUGACUGAAUCACGGCUGCCGAGGAGGAGGAGGAGGCAGACCUGCCUGCUUCAUGCGAAGUCUGAAGUGUUUGUGCAGAAAAGCUCUGGAAGGAUGCUCGCCGCUGUAUAUAUAGAGUAGGUUUUGCCCUUUACAAUAAGAUGAUGCAUUUCAUUUUGCUUCCCCUGUU